UUUUAUGAAGCCUGUCGCAAGUAGUUUUGCUAGCUCUUUCUUGAUGGCUUCUCUUCUGUCCUGGGCAAAUCUGUGUAGUCGUUGUCUCUUUUGAGUAGCUUUAGGAUCUACGUUGAGUGAAUGCUCGAUCAACUCCUUAGGCACACCUAGCAUAUCAGUCGGUUUCCAUGCGAAAAUGUCUCGAUUUGCCCGAAGGAAGCUGACGAGCACGCUUUCCUAUUUGGCAUCCAGCCCUGUGCCAAUCAGGGUUGUCUUGGAGGAGUCGCCG
rnacentral:lncRNA from 1 species